GCCUGUGAAGCUCAAUUGGUAGAGCGAAAUGCUGAAGUCAUUUAGGUUGUAAGUUCGAGUCUUACCACAAGCA